UCCACGCCCUAAACGAUGUAUGCUUUGGUGUUGGGAGUUCUGCUCUCAGUGCCGGAGGUAACCCGUUAAGCAUACCACCUGGGGAGUACGAUCGCAAGGUUGAAACUCAAAGGAAUUGACGGGGGCCCGCACAAGCGGUGGAUCAUGUGGUUUAAUUCGAUGCAACGCGAAGAACCUUACCCGGGCUUGAAGUGUAGGUAGUAAAGAGACGAAAGUCGAAUGAACCGUUAAGC
rnacentral:rRNA from 1 species